CGACUACUGCACAGCCAAUAUUGACAUCCCGUCCAUUAAUGAAGGAGCUUGAUGAAAUGGAAAAGAUAAAUGCAAAACUCUCUGCUGCAGUUGAAGAGGUCACCCUCGAACACUGUAAAAAGAAUGAGAUUGUAAAACAUCAUUCACAGGAGGUUGGACUUCAACGCCGUGUUUUUGUUGACUUCUUCUGCAAUCCUGAACGUUUGAGGAGCCAAGUUAGAGAAUUGACUGCAAGAGUUAGAGCUUUGCAAGUUUCAUAACCCAUUCAUUCACAUAUGCACUCCAAUUCUUUUGCUUCCUUUUUCUCUCCCGACCAACCACAAAGGGGGGAAAUGCACAAAGAGACUACUGAAUCA
rnacentral:misc_RNA from 1 species